rnacentral:lncRNA from 1 species
CCCAGAACAGCUAGAUUUUUCUCUUAGUCUAUAAUCUUUGAGAAAAAAGGUAUUCUUUCUAGUGGAUCCUCAGGGGACAACUCUUGAGUUCAGGCCUAAAUCAUUUCCCAAAUUAUAGCACAAACCAAAAAGUUUUUAUUCUUGUAGCAUAGCAGCCUUUCUGGCAAAGUAUUUAAAGCAGCUGGGAUCAUCCUGUGGGAUAGAAUGUUGUUUUUGAUUCAGGGACUGAGUUAUGCCUUAAAGAGAGUACAUUUCCCUUCCCCAGGAAAAGUCUCACAUGAGGCCAAAUGUGCAUAGAUUAGCUCAGAUGCCUGAUGUGUGAAUUUUUGAGAGCCAUCCGCGUUAGAGAUAGUAUAGCAGCGGGACUUUUAGCUGCCACUGCUUUGUGGUUGCUACAUCCUCUAUUCACCAUAUAUGAGAGAUCAUCCUGGGAUUAAGACUAGAAUUUUCUCCAGGUAGCAAGGCCUAAUGAAUACAGUGCUCUCUUCAAAACCAGACUGACCUGGGUUCAAGUCCUGCCACUGAAAUAUAUUGACUUUGUGACCCUACAUGAAGAAGCAGAGGCACAGAGAGCUUAAGCUACGUGCUCAGGGGUGAAUGACUAGUCUCUGAUGGGGUAUUUGAAUCUGCAUCUUCCCAUCCCCAAGACCAAUGUUUUAUCCACUCUGCCACAUGUGUGAUGAAAGCUCGCAAGGAAAUAGAUGUACCUUGGUAACUUGGAAAAGCAAAAGCUCUGAGUCCUCCCUCUUAGCACCAGGCUGCUACAUUUGCUACAAUGGCUCCCUAUUACCUGUGGAUUUCUAAGGUAUGUAAGAGAAAUGUAAACUUUUUCUUCUCUAUUGUCUUUGGUUCUAGUCCCACACUGGCUGUAUUCACCUGAUUGUUAGGUAUCUAUAACUUAUGUCCCACUUCCUUUUAAUAUUUUAAUACCAAUUUACUUUUACAAAAGGGUUUACUACAAAAAUAUUGUUGUUCAACCUUCUUUUUUUUUCCCCCCUCCAGAAGGUUAAUGAGGCCAUGAAUUGACUUGUAGGGAAUUGAAUUUAAGUGAGGCAGAGUUGUACAGUGAUUAGCCUUUUUCCUUCUCUCAGUCAUCAAAUUCAAAUUGUAAGAC